AUGGGGAUCUGGCAUAGCAGCAUGAAGUGUUUGUGGCAGAGGGGUCCAAGAGGAAUUGUAAACAAUGCAGUAUUCCAUUUGUUGAUUUCCAUCUGAAAUGUGUAAGACUGCUUCUUGGCAGUUCAUC